rnacentral:rRNA from 1 species
GAACAGGAUUAGAUACCCUGGUAGUCCACGCUGUAAACGAUGAUCACUAGCUGUUGGCGAUACAUAGUCAGCGGCAAAGCGAAAGCAUUAAGUGAUCCACCUGGGGAGUACGCCGGCAACGGUGAAACUCAAAGGAAUUGACGGGGGCCCGCACAAGCGGAGGAACAUGUGGUUUAAUUCGAUGAUACGCGAGGAACCUUACCUGGGCUUAAAUAGAGAGUGCAUGAGUGGGAAACCAUUCUUUCCUUCGGGACUCUCUUCAAGGUGCUGCAUGGUUGUCGUCAGCUCUUGCCGUGAGGUGUCGGGUUGAGUCCCAUAACGAGCGCAACCCUUAUCGUUAGUUGCCAUCAGUUCGGCUGGGGACUCUAACGAAACUGCCGGUGUAAACCGUGAGGAAGGUGGGGAUGACGUCAAAUCAGCACGGCCCUUAUGUCCAGGGCUACACACGUGUUACAAUGGUCGAUACAAAGGGCAGCUACCAGGCAACUGGAUGCUAAUCUCAAAAGUCGGUCUUAGUUCGGAUUGGAGUCUGCAACUCGACUUCAUGAAGCUGGAUUCGCUAGUAAUCGCGCAUCAGCCACGGCGCGGUGAAUACGUUCCCGGGCCUUGUACACACCGCCCGUCAAGCCAUGGAAGCUGGGGGUACCUGAAGUACGUAACCGCAAGGAGCGGCCUAGGGGAAAA